GUCCAGAAUACCGCAAGCACCACAACCAACUAUAAUUUCAGGUAAUCUGCCCCCAAAAAGAGUUACAAUUAAAGGAAAGCAGCAGAAAGAGAUAAUAAAGGAAAGGACAACACAGGUAGUACACAAUACAAAUCAAGAUAUUCCAGUGGAACAAGAGAAAGAGGUGAAACUCCAACCUGCUGAAAUCAGUGAACAGAAGGACUUUCUUGACAAAAAAAACAUGUCAGCACCCCCAAAAAGAAAUCGCUCAUUUGCCCCUCAGAAUUUUGUCUUUCAACCUCCCAAAGGCUUGACCACCUACAAAGUGAAACCAAUGACCCCUUCCAGGGCAAAUAUGUUUUUAUUACCCAAUCUUUGCUGGAC
rnacentral:lncRNA from 1 species